rnacentral:tRNA from 1 species
GAGAGUGUGGCUCAGUGGUAGAGCACUCACCUAGCAUGUGUAAGGCACUGGGUUUGAUCCUCAGCACCACA